rnacentral:rRNA from 1 species
AUGGAGCCUCUGAAGCGUUUGACUUGUGUGAGGGAAGAAAAUGGCAACCGUGGGCGCGAGUUUGUGAAAUGCUUGAGAAAGCCACAGCCGGGGCGGGUUAGAUCUGUGUUCUUGACCAAUCCUUUGGUUCUGAAGAAAUGUGGGCAUUUUGAGUGGCUCGAUGACUAUGUUGAAAGGUUGAAAUUGGAGGGAUCAACCGGAACCCAAGAGCUCAAUUUUGGGGGGCGGCUUGCCGUGGAACAAGCCCCCAAUUUGGCGGACAGAGCCGAUCCGAUGAUGCACGGUGCAUAA